UAGAUACCCUAUUAUUUGAAAUGUAUUUAAUUAACUAAAGUAGUAGUAGUUAUGUUCUUGAAACUUAAAAAAUUUGGCGGUAUUUUAGUCUAUUCAGAGGAACCUGUCCUAUAAUCGAUAAUCCACGAUGGACCUAACUUAAGUUUGUUUUCAGUUUGUAUACCGUCGUUAUAAGAAUAUUUUAUAAGAAUAAUAAUUUUCUAGAAUUUUUAUUAAAAAUUAUAUCAGAUCAAGGUGCAGCUUAUAUUUAAGAA
rnacentral:rRNA from 1 species